CGCAUUUGAGAAGAUUUAUCAGCAAUUGUCUAGUGAGGUGGUUCCAAAAAUUCCUGGUUUCCAAAGAGCUUCAAAUUUAAGGAAAUAUGAAGGAAUACAGAUGUCAGAAACUGUAAAUGCUCUUGUUAACUCACCUGUUCGAUCUUUAUAUGCAAUUCCCAGAGUUAAGAGACUAGGAAAUUUUCAAAAUGAUCUUCUUUCUUCACCAGUAAAGCGACUGAAAAAUAUACCUGAACAUUUUUUUUCAACAAAAUAUCAGCAGAUUUCUCACAAGAAAUAUGGUGAUCUUCAGACAGUUGGCAUGGAUUCUGCUAGCCUACACAAUGGCAGUAACACCAGAUUUUUUAACAGUAACAACUGUCAUCAUCAGGACUCUGGGUUUCACGCUUCUUCAGAUAAAACUUUUCUUGUUAUUCCUGAUGCUUCGUUGAAAGAAUUGGAGAAUACAGAUGCCCAGUCUGGUUGGCGUAGGACAAUGCCAAAUUACAGUAGCCCUGGAAAUGCACUGAAAUGCCCCCAAAAGGUAUCCAGAAAACUAAGCUACACCGAUGGGAAGGACCGAAAUCCUAGCAAUCCCUUAGACAACGUCCUGAUCAAAACUCAGCAAGGAGCCUUUAUGGCAUACAGAGAAAAUAACAUUGUUUUAUAGUUCUUAUUUGUGGUUUGUUUGUUUUCUCAAAAAUCACAGACGUAUUAGUACAAAAAUCCUUCGUAGAUAGGAACGUUACUGUAAUACACAAUUAAUGCUGAUUUAUUCUUCCCUGUAACAUAAAUCUUCAGGAACUAACUCCAGCCUUCUUCUUAUGGUGCCUUUCAUGAUUCUUGGGCCUCGUCAGGUGUUGCAAGGAACCAGGUUUCCUUUCUAUAAAUUUAUUUGAAUUAUAUAUUUAGCAGUAUUUAUAAUAUUAGAAUGUGAUUUAUAUUAUCUUUUUAUCUGCUGAUAACUUUUAUGAUUCAAUUUUGAUUUUAAUCUUGAUUCUUAAUCUACUAGUACUAAGACCUUAACAAACUCAGCGUCUGCUGAAUUCUGUUCCAUUCCUGUUGUACAAACAUGUCAAUACAAAAUGCCUGAAAUAAACUAAGUUGUUACGUUUCUCUAUGUCCUGUC
rnacentral:lncRNA from 1 species